rnacentral:antisense_RNA from 1 species
AAUACUCAACAGAAACUGCUCUGCACUGGCCCCACAUUAGGGGGUUCCUAUCUACGGUUUCUAAAUGUGAGCCCCUUGACAACUGCUGUGGCAGACACGACCAUCCCCAUGGAGGGGCUGAGAACAAUGAAGCACAGACAGGCCAGGGUCACCCAAAGCCGGGAUGACAGCCCGCUUUUCUCUGGUGGUUCUACUCAGCCGCUCCACUGAGGAGAUGGGAGAGGUGAGGGGCGCAGGAGGAAGGUGGAGCUCAAAGGGAGGCUGGAACCCAUGGCCAUGACCUACCCCAAGGAGGUGGCCCAGGGCCACAGAGAAGCCUAUGGAGAGAGCAGGGGUGCUCGGGUUCUCUCCGCGGCGCUCAUCGGUGGAGGCAAAGAUGCAGAGCACCAGCUGCAGUGUCAGGAAGAGCUCCACAGUUACCGCCUGGCCAGCCGUCGUGCUGUUGCUGAGCUGGGGACAAAGAGGCAGAUGAGGAAGGGCCACUUGUGCAGAGAAGGGGGUGGCCACAGAGAUUGUGCAGGACUCGUCAAAGACAUCGGGACUCUUGUCCAGUGGCCCAGGGAUGGAAAAGGCCAGGAACUACUGGAGA